GCGAACGAACAGCCUCCCCCUUGAUAUGCUACGUCCCCAUUUAAAAAAAUCAAUACUUAAUAAUUAGCAAUUAAUACACUUUCCAAGUAUAUACAACUGCUAUCUUAUUUUCUGCAGUUUUUAAUGAGAAUUAUGCUCUUAAGGUUAAUAGAUAAACGAAUGUUUCGAACAUAAGUUAUUUUUAUAAAUUUAUAUCAUUUGUCUCAGUAACAAAAAUUAAAUUUUGCUUCAUACAAAAAAUACAAGUAAUUAACCAAUUAACUCAUACCUUUUAUUGAAUAAAAAAUACAAUUAAGGUGAUUAAUUGAAUAUAAAUGGAAUUACCGUAUGUACGCAUUAUGUCAUCAUUACUUAAUAAACAUAUCUUUUAAUAUAAUUUGUACUGUAAUGUUUAACAGAAAUAUAUAUACGUCAAAAAUGAAAUAUAUUUAAUGAAACAUGUUAUUGUUGUAACAUGGUAAUUUGUUAAUGUAAUAAACAUAUAUUUAUUAAAUAAGUAUGAACUAUUAAUAAAAGUCAUGAAAUUGAUUAAUUUAUAAAUA